UGGAGGGCAAGUCUGGUGCCAGCAGCCGCGGUAAUUCCAGCUCCAAUAGCGUAUAUUAAAGUUGUUGCAGUUAAAAAGCUCGUAGUUGAAUUUCGGGGUUCUACCGUUGGUCGGGCUUUGUCUGUACUGGUGUGUAGAAUUUCUACCUUCUGGGGAACCAUCAUGCUAUUAAUUUAGCGUGGUGGGAAACCAGGACCUUUACCUUGAAAAAAUUAGUGUGUUCAAAGCAGGCUUAUGUCUGAAUACAUUAGCGUGGAAUAAUAGAAUAGGACAGUGGUCCUGUUUUGUUGGUUUCUGAAUCACCGUAAUGAUUAAUAGGGAUAGUUGGGGGCAUUAGUAUUCAAUUGUCAGAGGUGAAAUUCUUGGAUUUAUUGAAGACUAACUUCUGCGAAAGCAUUUGCCAAGGAUGUUUUCAUUAAUCAAGAACGAAAGUUAGGGGAUCGAAGACGAUCAGAUACCGUCGUAGUCUUAACCAUAAACUAUGCCGACUAGGGAUCGGACGAUGUUAAUUUUUCUUGACUCGUUCGGCGCCUUACGGGAAAC
rnacentral:rRNA from 1 species